UCUAUAUCUACAUUGUGAUAAAAAAAACGAAAAGAAUAGCAACGAAAAAAAAAAAAAGAGAAAAAAACAAAGAAAAAAAUGAAAAAUAAAAGAAAAAAAAACAGAAAAAAAUGAAAAAAAAUAGAAAAAAAAGAAAAAAGUGUUUGGAACUUGUGAAAAAAUUGUGAAAGUUUAAUAUUUUUUUGGAAAAGUCGAAAAAGUUUGUGAAAGUUUAACGAAACAAGAAAAAAAAAUAAAGAAAACAAAUGAAGAGUGAAGGAGAGAGAGGAGGAGGAGGAGGAGGAGGAGGAGGAGGAGGAAGAAGAGGAAGAGGAGGAAGAAAAAUAGUGAUGAUGUUGAUGGUGGUGGUGAUGUUGGGGUUGACGAUGAUGGUGAAGAUAAAGAUAGAGAGAAAAGAAGAUGAAGAUCUCGUGAUGAAAUACAAAAUAGAAGAAGAAGAUAAAGAAGAAGGAGGAGAAGAAUAUGCAAGAGAGAUAGAGAGAGAAUUAAGAGAGGAAGACAGAAGAAAGAGAAGAGAAGAGAAGUGGAAGAAGAUAUUGGAAGAGGAGGUGAAGGAAGAGGAGGAGAAGGAGGAGGAGGAGGAAGAAUUAUUUGGUAUCAUACUUUACGAAAUGGAAGAAGAAGAAGAGGAGGAGGGGAGGAUAAUAUUUAAAGAGAAGAACAAGGAAGAGGAGGAGGAGGAAGAGGAAGAGGAAGGAGGAAGAAGAAGAGGAGGAGAAGGAUAUGGGAAGAUAAUU